rnacentral:sRNA from 2 species
UGGAGGGGACAGAGUCCAGCUGGCGGCCUUCGUUGUUGGACACAAUGAUUGCGUCAGCGCCAUGUCCAAUGGCGAGCAGUGUAUCCUCUGCGGUCAUUAUGCCUUUUAGAAUGAUUUUCAGGUUGGUUCUGGAACAUAGCUAAGGCAUGGUGUCAGACCAGGUGAGUGAUGCGUCGUUCAGGGUGUCGUGGUUUCCGAGUGUGAUUUCCGUCGCUACUUUAGCAUUGCGUGCCUCCAGGAGAACACGGUUCAUUGUCGGUUCUGCCUUUGGAGGCCUUUCGUUUGGAGUAUAAUUUGUUCAUUUUUUGGUGGAGACUUGCGAGAGAAAGCUGGGGAGGAAGAACCAAUGGCGUUUUGCUCAUUGAUGCGAUUCCCCAGGACAGGUGUGUCAACUGUUAAAAGUAUGGCUUUGUAUCCGGCAACUGGGAUAAACUAGAUCUUUUGGGAAGCAUAUAUAUUUCAAAGAGAGUGGGACUGAGUUUCUACCGUUGUUGCAAAUUUGAAACCAUGUGGGAUUGAAUGAUUU